GACACAUCUUGAUCAUGUAAAUAGAAAGUUAAACAGACUAAAGUACGCAGUAAGAAUCCUCUCACAAAACACAAGCCGUGUGUCAGAAAUCACAAUGUACCAUGGUUGUAUUCAGUCAAUGCUGAUGUAUGGCAUAAUCUUUUGGGGGAACUCCGUAGGUACAAACAAAACAUUUAGGCUACAGGAAAAGAUUGUUAGAAUAAUAAACCAUGCCAAGUACAGAGACUCCUGUCGACCAAUGUUUAAAAAUCUCAAUAUAUUGCCUCUUCCUCGCUUAUAUAUGUAUGAAAUACUAAAUUUCACAAAAGGAAGCAUUUUAAAAGAUGAAAAUAUCUUCAAGUAUCACUGUGAUUACCACCCUCAUGAUUCUAGGCAGAAGCACUAUUUGCAUGUCAAUACAGUAAGUACAAACAGUUGUAAGAGAGAAGUCUAUCAUACUGGCAUAAUGCUGUACAAUCACAUGCCAUCCUAUUUGAAACAGACGCAAAAUUUACAAAAGUUUAAAGUGAAACUGAAAGAAUACUUGCUUGACCACUGCUUCUAUUCCGUUUCCGAGUUUUUAGAGUACCAGAGAAGUAUAGUGUAACUGCUCAAAUAUUCUUAACCAAUCUAUCAUUUUAUUUCAUUGUAUUAAUUUUGUCAUCAAUAUUCAACAUGUAUGGAAUAAUUUUUAAUUAUUUAUCAUUUCAAAAUAACAGUGUGUAUGAUGUUGUAUAUACUGUACUAACCUGUCUUGUCAUACGUCGUUUGUGCAAAAUAUGAGCCUAAAUACGAUUUACAGGACCAAUAAAGAAAUACAAAUACAAUAUCGCGGGCCCUGACGAAUCGCUUCAUGGCGUCAUCAGAAAGACCGAAAGUGUGACUGCGCUGCCUGGUGGCUAGUCUUGUAAGCAGCUCUGUUGACACAAGUGACGCCAUCCACUCAUCACCUGUUGGCCACAGCCCUUUAUGCAGUCUUGCCCUUAACUGAGAAGCGGCUCGUGGGUCCCGAAGAAUCAUGACAUAAUAUCAUGACUUGACGUCGUCUAUCACGCUAGCCAAUAUCACUGGUAGUUUUCAAACUGCGGAUAUUCUUUGAAUUGUGGGUGUAUGUAUAAUGGCGGAUUACUUGUUUUGUGUGAAAAAAAACCAAUCGCAUCUUUUUCGCCAUGUUUCAGUUUUUAACAGUCACCAUUUUAUCGCCUGCUUUUAUUGUUGUGCUAUCUCCUAAUUUAGUUUUUUAAUUUUUCUGUAGGCUGCAGAGCGGCGUAUUAUGCUGCUGGCAGCCCACACCCCUCUUGGGGGGGGGUGGGGGGAGGAAAGUGUUUUGUGUGCGAUAAAGCAUUUCAACUACCGAAGACUUUAUAUCAUGCACUUUUCCUCAUGUGUGCGUAUAGAGCCAAAUACUGAAGGUACAGUGAGAAACUUUGCAUUUUAAUUUUAUGAUGCGCAAGAAAAGUAAAGUGUCUGGUAAAUCUACAGAAUUUCAUUAUCUGUGCCUACAGUAUUCAGACGCACAAUGUUACACUGUAAAGUUUGUUUCAGUGCAUCUAUGUGGAUUAUUUGUGUGAACAGUGUAUUGUCAUAAGAAAUGGCUUCGGUAUUUAAUUUGCAAUCAUCAUAAAUUUUUGUUGAGUUUCUGAAGUGGAAGUCAAAAGAAGAGAAGACAGCAAGAAAUAGCUUUUUGUGUGUUUCAUGGUUUACAGGCCUACUGGGGAAACUAGCCACGAAAAAAAAUAAUAAUAAAUAAAUAAAUGACGAAUAACAAAUCAAGCAUGGUACCUCUAUGGUCAUAUGGAAAUCCGAGCAUUGUUAUUAAAGAAAUUAAUUCAGUGUUUGUUUCUUUUGAUUCCUUUAUCGUAUUGCCUGUAGUUGACAAAAUUUAAUUGAAAUAAUGAGUUGUUAAUUUCAACAUAAAUUGGACUAUGUGCAUAGCUGUCUCUAAUGGCUUGGCCUCUUUUCACAAGUAAAGUAUGGAUAUUACCCACACCUUUGGUAUGAAUGUUUACUAGUCAGCUGUGGCAGAAGAAAUCACUGACUCAAAGCAUAGUUUGCUUGGUAGACAUAAUAAGAAAUUGCCUUUUUAGUUACAAUUUCACGUUUUUAGAUUGUAGCACUUCCUGAGAGUGCACACAAUCAUUCAUUUGCAAUUUCUUUUUUUUUUAAAAAAAAGAAAAGAAAGAAAGGCUUUGGUUUAAAGUGUCUUUUCAUUAUGCCUGGUCUGUCUGUAACUCAACGUGUCAUCGUGUCGUAUUUGUAGUGACUACUAAUCUGUCUUUUCCUUAUGUUGUUGAUACAGAUCUAGCUGUUAGGGUGAAAUGCUCUAUUCCUUCAAAUCAAGUCUCACCUACAUGUAAAUUACUUGUAGACCUGUGCCUUACUGAAUAACAGUUUGUUGCAGAAAAUGUACUUAUGUAUAGCCAUUUGUUAUGAACUGACAAAUUCAGCAAAAUGAUCCUUGUAUUGUAUGAUGAUGAAUAAAAUUCAUGUCAUUAUUA